rnacentral:tRNA from 1 species
AGCAAGGUGGCGCAGUGGAAGCGCGGUAAGUUGAUGUGAGUCACGAUGAUACAACACUUUACUAACUACCAAUCAAGCCGGGCUCAUAACCCGGAGGACGACGGAUCGAAACUGUCUCUUGCUA